GAAGCACUAACUCACCAAAUGAUCCUCCUCACUUGGUGAACUUUGACCUUGGCACUGACUGUCCUGCGGGCACAGCCUGUUUCAACCCUCUUCAUCAGUUUGACCACAUUGGCACAAAGAAGCUGGAUCAGAGUGCCGUGGUCGACUGGGCAUGGGACUGGCCAAGGCUGCUGCCAGCCUAUCAGGGCAUGAGUCAGGUCACCUUCAAAACUCUACUGGCCAACAGGUGGGAGCUGCAGGAAGGAGCAGAGCUGGAAGAUGGAGAGAAAGCAAUGGUAGAAGAACUUCAGAAAGCCUAUUUUGCUUGCUGCUGCAGCCCGGGACAACAGGACCCUCCUGAAGCUGAUGAGACACUAGCAGAGCAGACCCAGGGGGAAACACAGCCAUUCAAUAAAAAUGCUGCCCAAUAACAGUUCAUGCUGUUGGAAUUUUUAUCAUGUUGUAAAUGCUUGCUUGUAAUAUGUACUUGCAGCUCUCUUGGUAGUAGAAUUUUUUAUGGGUGUGUAGGUGUGUGUGUGUGCACAUUUGUGGGUCUGAGUUGGUUUGUGCAUGUACUAUAUGCACUGAGUUUGCUUGUGUG